AUGGCCUCAUCUACCAGCCCAGAGACACAGACGUGCGGCCGGGCGCCCGGGACCCUGAGGACAUACACGAAAUUUUGACCCUCAGGAAAGCAAGCCAUCCUUCAGAACCUACCGACUUCAACGGCAUGAUCCCGCCUAAGGCCCAGCGUACCACAUACCUGCUGCGACGACCACACAAGUACAGCCGGAGUAUCGUGCCUUCAAUUGUCCAUCCGGAGACCAGUAACCAUAUCAUCUCCAGUCCUCCUAAACUCCCGCCGCCUUACUCUUUCCAAGGGAAACACUUUCAUCAAACUUCUCACGACUUCAGCGCUUACGGAUCCAUCGCAAACCAUUACCAUGGUCCGCACUUGGGGGGAGUUUAUCAUCCUCCGAAUUUAUCACCACUGCUUCAUUUAGGGGGACCUUUGGCAAAUGUUCAUUCAUACGCGCAACAUUCGAUAAUAUUUUUGUGAAAUUGUUUAUUUUCCUUUAUAAAAGAACAACAGAUGAUUUUGAUGAGCGUUGGGCGGCAACACUUCUAGGUUACUAAAUAGUAUUUUCGUCUGCUAUUUUAUAUAACUCGAAAUUAUCAUGAGGUUAGAAGAGGCGAUGUGUUAUUUUAGUCUAUGAACUUUGUGUUUUGCUAUAGAAAUUUUUGGUAUGCUGGUAAUUACUGUUCAUUUGUACUGAAAGUGCGCAAUGUAUUCAAGUUGUUUUCAACGCUGCUAGCGAAAAGUUCACUUAUGUUGAUAGCCACGCCUACAAAUUUAAGUUGAUGCAUACAAUACAAAAAAUUCCUGAUAGGGAAAUAAUUAUUUACGCAACUAGAAUUCGACGAUUGUGAACGUAUUAUUGUUUGUACUACUGUUAGCUCAGCAAAUCAAAGAAUUUUUUUCGAGUUUAAAAAUAUCUUAAUUUGUGAGGUGACGUAUUCACUUGGUUACAGUAGUUGGACUUAACUGUGACUUGUUCAAACAUAACAUGAGUUUGUCAGGAACUAGUUCGUUUAGUUGAAAAAUUGAAUAACAGAAAAACGUUCUGUCACAAAUUUAAGUGCUUACAAAAAACUUUUUAUUCGAG